rnacentral:rRNA from 1 species
AUGAACGCUAGCUACAGGCUUAACACAUGCAAGUCGAGGGGCAGCAUGAACUUAGCUUGCUAAGUUUGAUGGCGACCGGCGCACGGGUGAGUAACACGUAUCCAACCUGCCGAUGACUCGGGGAUAGCCUUUCGAAAGAAAGAUUAAUACCCGAUGGCAUAGUUCUUCCGCAUGGUAGAACUAUUAAAGAAUUUCGGUCAUCGAUGGGGAUGCGUUCCAUUAGGUUGUUGGCGGGGUAACGGCCCACCAAGCCUUCGAUGGAUAGGGGUUCUGAGAGGAAGGUCCCCCACAUUGGAACUGAGACACGGUCCAAACUCCUACGGGAGGCAGCAGUGAGGAAUAUUGGUCAAUGGACGAGAGUCUGAACCAGCCAAGUAGCGUGAAGGAUGACUGCCCUAUGGGUUGUAAACUUCUUUUAUACGGGAAUAAAGUGAGGCACGUGUGCCUUUUUGUAUGUACCGUAUGAAUAAGGAUCGGCUAACUCCGUGCCAGCAGCCGCGGUAAUACGGAGGAUCCGAGCGUUAUCCGGAUUUAUUGGGUUUAAAGGGAGCGUAGGCGGACGCUUAAGUCAGUUGUGAAAGUUUGCGGCUCAACCGUAAAAUUGCAGUUGAUACUGGGUGUCUUGAGUACAGUAGAGGCAGGCGGAAUUCGUGGUGUAGCGGUGAAAUGCUUAGAUAUCACGAAGAACUCCGAUUGCGAAGGCAGCUUGCUGGACUGUAACUGACGCUGAUGCUCGAAAGUGUGGGUAUCAAACAGGAUUAGAUACCCUGGUAGUCCACACAGUAAACGAUGAAUACUCGCUGUUUGCGAUAUACAGUAAGCGGCCAAGCGAAAGCGUUAAGUAUUCCACCUGGGGAGUACGCCGGCAACGGUGAAACUCAAAGGAAUUGACGGGGGCCCGCACAAGCAGUGGAGUAUGUGGUUUAAUUCGAAGCAACGCGAAGAACCUUACCUAGACUUGACAUCUCCUGCAUUACUCUUAAUCGAGGAAGUCCCUUCGGGGACAGGAAGACAGGUGGUGCAUGGUUGUCGUCAGCUCGUGUCGUGAGAUGUUGGGUUAAGUCCCGCAACGAGCGCAACCCUUGCUAUUAGUUGCUACGCAAGAGCACUCUAAUAGGACUGCCGUUGACAAAACGGAGGAAGGUGGGGAUGACGUCAAAUCAUCAUGCCCUUUAUGACCUGGGCUACACACGUACUACAAUGGCGUUUAACAAAGAGAAGCAAGACCGCGAGGUGGAGCAAAACUCAAAAACAACGUCUCAGUUCAGAUUGCAGGCUGCAACCCGCCUGCAUGAAGUAGGAAUCGCUAGUAAUCGCGGGUCAGCAUACCGCGGUGAAUACGUUCCCGGGCCUUGUACACACCGCCCGUCACACCAUGGGAGCCGGUAAUACCCGAAGUCAGUAGUCUAACCGCAAGGAGGACGCUGCCGAAGGUAGGAUUGGCGACUGGGGUG